GAUGAAGAACGUAGCGAAAUGCGAUAAGUAAUGUGAAUUGCAGAAUUCAGUGAAUCAUCGAAUCUUUGAACGCACCUUGCGCUCCUUGGUAUUCCGAGGAGCAUGCCUGUUUGAGUGUCAUGAAAUUCUCAACCUUUCUGGCUUUUGCUAGUCAGGCUUGGAUUAUGGGAGCUGCUGGCUUUUGAAGUCGGCUCUUCUAAAAUGUAUUAGCAAGAUCAUUGCUGCUCAUCAUUGGUAUGAUAAUUAUCUAUAUCAUUGAGAGUCAGUUUCCUUUAUUGGAAGAUUUUGCUCCUAACGGUCUUUAGCAAGACAACAUUUGACGAUUUUGACCUCAAAUCAGGUAGGACUACCCGCUGAACUUAAGCAUACCAAUAAGCGGAGGA
rnacentral:misc_RNA from 1 species